GGUUCGAUCCCUGGCUCAGAUUGAACGCUGGCGGGGAUGUUUACACAUGCAAGUCGAACGGCAGCACGGACUUCGGUCUGGUGGCGAGUGGCGAACGGUGAGUAAUGUAUCGGAACGUGCCUAGUAGCGUGGAUAACUACGCGAAAGCGUAGCUAAUACCGCAUACCGCCCUUCGGGGGAAAGCGGGGACCUUCGGGCCUCGCACUAUUAGAGCGGCCGAUAUCGGAUUAGCUAGUUGGUGGGGUAACGGCUCACCAAGGCGACGAUCCGUAGCUGGUUUGAGAGGACGACCAGCCACACUGACUACACGGCCCAGACUCUACGGGAGGCAGCAGUGGGGAAUUUUGGACAAUGGGGAAACUCCUGAUCCAGCCAUCCCGCGUGUGCGAUGAAGGCUUCGGGUUGUAAAGCACUUUGGCAGGAGUAUGCGAAUGGCACGGAUAAUACCCGUGCAACUGACGGUACCUGCAGAAUAAGCACCGGACACCAUGUGCCAGCAGCUGCGGUAAUAUGUAGUAAGCGUUAAUCGGAAUUACUGGGCGUAAGUGUGCGCAGGCGGUUCGGAAAGAAAGAUGUGAAAUCCCAGGAGCUUAACUUUGGAACUGCAUUUUUAACUACUGAGCUAGAGUGUGUCAGAGGGAGGUGGGAAUUCCGCGUGUAGCAGUGAAAUGCGUAGAUAUGCGAGGAACACCGAUGGCGAAGGCAGCCUCCUGGGAUAACACUGACGCUCAUGCACGAAAGCGUGGGGAGCAAACAGGAUUAGAUACCCUGGUAGUCCACGCCCUAAACGAUGUCAACUAGCUGUUGGGGCCUUCGGGCCUGGUAGCGCAGCUAACGGGUGAAGUUGACCCGCCUGGGGAGUACGGUCGCAAGAUUAAAACCCAAAGGAAUUGACGGGGACUCCGCACAAGCGGUGGAUGAUGUGGAUUAAUUCGAUGCAACGCGAAAAACCUUACCUACCCUUGACAUGUCCGAAUCCCGAGAUUUGGGAGUGCUCGCAAGAGAACCGGAACACAGGUGCUGCAUGGCUGUCACGUCAGUCGUAAGCCGUGAGAUGUCGGGUUAAGUCCUACAACGAGCGCAACCUUGUCAUUAGUUGCUACGAAAGGGCACUCUAAUGAGACUGCCGGUGACAAACGGAGGAAGGUGGGGAUGACGUCAAGUCCCGCGGUCUUAUGGGUAGGGCUUCACACGUCAUACAAUGGUCGGGAGCAGAGGUCGCCAACCCGCGAGGGGGAGCCAAUCCCAGAAACCCGAUCAAAGUCCGGAUCGCAGUCUGCAACUCGACUGCGUGAAGUCGGAAUCGCUAGUAAUCGCGGAUCAGCAUGUCGCGGUGAAUACGUUCCCGGGUCUUGUACACCGCCCGUCACACCAUGGGAGUGGGUUUUACCAGAAGUAGUUAGCCUAACCGUAAGGAGGGCGAUUACCACGGUAGAUUCAUGACUGGGGUGAAGUCGUAACAAGGCAG
rnacentral:rRNA from 1 species